AACUAGUUAAUGUUUGUUGACAAACAUAAGAGGCGCCUGACUCGAGUGUUCCAGCACAACACGACAAUUAUUUAUCUUUAUUACUCUCUUCUUCAACCACAUUAUGACUUCAACCAAGUUAUUUAGUUUUUAAUGCAGUGAUCUACACGAGUGACUUUUUUUUAUGGAAUAUCCGGCAGAAUUGAGCGUGAGCAACAGCAGCAGCAAGUUGAUGGGCUGCGCCUCCUAGCAUAAGUGAACAAUUAAGAAGAAUUAGUGUGAGUCUUGGUAGGCCUAGGAGGAGAUAUGCCAGGUGUGAAGAGAGUGCCAGACAAUGAAAGGGACGACCACGAGAGUGAAAAUGAAGAUGGAGACCAAGAUUCUGACAGUGAUCAUAGUUCACUGGACGAGUCUAUAUCAUCUGAUGGCACUGAGUCUGAUGAUUCCUCAGAAUUGGACGAGGAGGAAUGUGAUAGACGGCGAGGGGAAUAUCUCACAGAUCUCUCAGACUUGGAACGGCAAUUUUCUUUGCUCAGAGAACAACUGUACCGUGAACGAGUUACUCAAGUUGAAGCAAAGUUGGACGAAGUGCGAGUGGGAGAAGCUACAGAGUAUCUUAUGCCACUGGAGGAGCUUCAGGAAGCUCUGCGUGUCAGGUUGGAAGUGGCUUGUAUCCUUCGUCAGUUACGCCUCCAGAACAUCAGUAAUAAACAUGAAGCGGAACUUCUGGCCUCUAAACAAAACUUUGAGAAUGAGAAAGUGAUGCUGUGGGACACAAUUGAAGGUGAACUGGAGGAUAAGAUACGUCGUCUUGAGGAAGAUCGCAACAACGUUGAUGUCACCAGUCAGGUGUGGGCAGAACAGAAUCUACACAGAAAGAGACGAAGACAUAGACAGGGUUCAAAUAGCUCGACUGAUGGCAAGAAAAAAAAGCCCACUACUGUUGCUGGUCCCUAUAUUGUUUACAUGUUACGGGAGCCAGAUAUUGUUGAUGACUGGACCACAAUCAAGAAGGCACUGACUGCAUCGAAACGAAAAAGUAAAUUUGGGAAAAUCACUUCUCCUCGUCAUUAUUCAGAAGCAGUUUCCCUUUAAGGUAGUUGCCCAGUUUCAAUGGAUGUGUUGAAAAUCGUGGAUAGUGGCACACACAGCAUCUUCGCUCCCUCUCUAAGGAACCAUGGAGAGACGUCCGGUCCCACCACGUUUGAGGUUGGAUCAGAGCAAGUUUGCAAGUUUGUAUUUUUUUACUUGAUAACUUAAGUUAUGAAAGUGUUCAGUUCAGGAACAAAAUAUAAGAUUUCAGGGGUUCUUAUUACAAGAACAAGACUGAGAGAUUAAUUAGGAGCUAAGAAUCAGAACAUGACAAAAUAUGAUAUUUUAAGGUGUUCAGUACAGGAAUAUUACAGGAUAGAUUAUUGAAGUGUUCACCACAGGAGUGUCAAAGGAUCGAUUAUUGAAGUGUCAGUUACUGGAGCAUCACAGGAUAAAUAAUUGAAGUAUUAAAUACAAGAGUAAUCACACAAGAAUAAAUUUUUUCUGGAAUUUAGAACAGAACUGUUUGUUUAACCCUUAAACGGUCCAAGCAAAUCGGCGUUCAAAUUCAUAUUGCUACAAAAGUAGAUCUACUUUUUUUUACAUAUUUUCAAAUAUAACAAAAAAAAAUGUAGAUAAAAGUUUUUUUUACACGUUUUCAAAUGUAAAACAAAAAAAAAAGAUCUACAUUUUUUACAUACUUUCAGAUGUUGAAAAAACGUAUAUAUAUGUUUGGACCAUUUAAGGGUUAACUUAAUGUCAUUAUUCUUAUUAUUCAAUGACACUUGCAUUGUCAGUUAAACAUGUUAUUAGUGAAUAAUUGGUUUAUAAUAAGUGAAGAAUGUAUGUCAUCUGGAAUUUAAUACAGUGCAACCUCUGCUUACGAGUUUAAUCCGUUCCGUGACCUAGCUCAUAACCUGAUCUGCUCAAAUACUGAGUUAAUUUUCCUAAUUUAAAUUAAUUGAGAUGCCAUUAAUCCGUUCCAGCGGAAUUCCUGCACAGGAUACGGCUCAUAUCCUGAAAAAUUCGCAUGGUGGGGCAUUGCAAGCAGAGGUUCCACUGUAUUAUAUAGGUGACUAUGUAUACAUUUAAAUAUGUAGAGAAAGAUAAGGAAUUUUUCAUCUGAAAUAUAAGCUCACCUAACAUGAAUCAUGUAAAUAUAACACUAGGCUUAGUAACACAUAGUUGGUUACUUUUUGUGUCUCCAGCCUUGAUAAAAUAUAUUCAUUUUAAAUUAUAUAUAUUUGAAGUUAUA